rnacentral:rRNA from 1 species
UACGUAGGGGCUAGCGUUAUCCGGAAUUACUGGGCGUAAAGGGUGCGUAGGUGGUUUCUUAAGUCAGAGGUGAAAGGCUACGGCUCAACCGUAGUAAGCCUUUGAAACUGGGAAACUUGAGUGCAGGAGAGGAGAGUGGAAUUCCUAGUGUAGCGGUGAAAUGCGUAGAUAUUAGGAGGAACACCAGUUGCGAAGGCGGCUCUCUGGACUGUAACUGACGCUGAGGCACGAAAGCGUGGGGAGCAAACAGGAUUAGAUACCCCUGUAGUCCCUGAGCGGG